rnacentral:rRNA from 1 species
AUACGUAGGGGGCGAGCGUUGUCCGGAAUGAUUGGGCGUAAAGGGCGCGUAGGCGGCCUGUUAAGUCUGGAGUGAAAGUCCUGUUUUCAAGAUGGGAAUUGCUUUGGAUACUGAUGGGCUUGAGUGCAGGAGAGGUUAUCGGAAUUCCCGGUGUAGCGGUGAAAUGCGUAGAGAUCGGGAGGAACACCAGUGGCGAAGGCGGGUAACUAGACUGCAACUGACGCUGAGGCGCGAAAGUGUGGGGAGCAAACAGGAUUAGAUACCCUGGUAGUCCACACUGUAAACGAUGAAUGCUAGGUGUAAGAGGUAUCGACCCCUUUUGUGCCGGAGUUAACACAAUAAGCAUUCCGCCUGGGGAGUACGGCCGCAAGGUUGAAACUCAAAGGAAUUGACGGGG